rnacentral:rRNA from 1 species
AGAGUUGAUCAUGGCUCAGGAUGAACGCUAGCGACAGGCUUAACACAUGCAAGUCGAGGGGCAGCAUAAAAGUAGCAAUACUUGGUGGCGACCGGCGCACGGGUGAGUAACGCGUAUGCAACCUACCUAUCAGAGGGGAAUAACCCGGCGAAAGUCGGACUAAUACCGCAUAAAACAGGGGCACCGCAUGGUGAUAUUUGUUAAAGAAAUUCGCUGAUAGAUGGGCAUGCGUUCCAUUAGGUAGUUGGUGAGGUAACGGCUCACCAAGCCGACGAUGGAUAGGGGAACUGAGAGGUUGGUCCCCCACACUGGUACUGAGACACGGACCAGACUCCUACGGGAGGCAGCAGUGAGGAAUAUUGGUCAAUGGGCGGGAGCCUGAACCAGCCAAGUCGCGUGAAAGGAAGAAGGAUCUAUGGUUCGUAAACUUCUUUUGCAGGGGAAUAAAGUGCAGGACGUGUCCUGUUUUGUAUGUACCCUGAGAAUAAGGAUCGGCUAACUCCGUGCCAGCCGCAGC